AUGCACUUCAGCUCGGGCCAGCCGGUGGCUCGGUCGGCGCAAGCUGCAUACCGUGGGAGCGGGACGCCCUGCUGUCCUUCAAGCGCGGCAUCACCAGCGACCCCUUGGGCGUCCUUCACUCUUGGCACAACGAAGACUGCUGGCGUCAAGUGCAGCAACCGGACCGGCCAUGUCCUUAGGCUUCAUCUUCGUAAUGUGCAUGCAGACUACCUCGAUGAGUUCUACGGAGACAACAUAGGUUUGGUUGGCGAGAUAAGUAAUUCUUUGCUCUCCAUGGAUCGUCUUGUGCACCUUGACCUCAGCAUGAAUUCCCUGGAGGGCCCAAGUGGUCACAUGCCGGAGUUCUUGGGCUCUUUGACGAGAUUGAGAUAUCUCAACCUCUCUGGCAUACCAUUUUGUGGCAGAGUGCCCCCUCAGCUCGGCAACCUCUCAAACUUGCAGCAUCUUGACCUCUCAUGCCAAUUUUGCACAGGACGUAUGUACUCAAGAGACAUUUCAUGGGUAGCACGCAUCCCUAAUUUGCAGUCUCUUGGAAUGAAUUGGGUAAACCUCAGCACAAUAGUUGAUUGGCCUUAUGUCGUCAACAUGAUCCCUUCUUUGAAGACCCUCGGUCUUGGGGGUUGCUCUCUUCAAACCGCAAAUCAUUCACUCCCACAUAUUAACCUUACCAAACUCGAGAGGCUUGAUCUCUCCGACAACAUCUUUGCCCACCCAAUGGCAAGGGGUUGGUUUUGGAAUCUGACAAGCCUCCAACAUCUCUACCUUGCUGACACUGAACUGUACGGUCAAGCUCCUGAUGCACUGGCACAUAUGACGUCCCUCCAAGUCCUUGAUUUGUCAUAUAAUCGUAACAUGGGGAUAAUGACUACAUGCUUCAGAAACCUAUGCAAUCUGAGAAGCCUGGACCUUUCUUCAUGUCAAAGUGAUGGAAACAUAAAAGAUAUUAUAGCAAGGAUGCCCCAGUGUCCCUUGAACAAACUGCAGGAGUUGCAUUUGGGCUCCAACAAUAUUACUGGAAUCAUGCCGGAUUUGAUAGCACACUUAACCAGCUUAGUCGUUCUUGAUAUCUCUGUGAACAACCUAAAUGGAGGCAUACCGCACGGGGUGGGGCUGCUCUCUAGUUUAAAAGAACUUGAUCUCUCUUCCAACAAUCUCAGUGGACCUGUGCCAUCUGAGAUCGGUAUGCUCCGUAAUCUGACCAUAUUGGAUCUUGAAGAUAACAAUCUUAGCGGACAUGUGCCAUCUGAGAUCGGUAUGCUUUGCAAUUUAAUCAUGAUGGAUCUCGGAGGCAAUAAAUUGAAUGGUGACUUCACCGAAGAACAUUUUACAAGUCUAAUGAGGUUAAAGGAGCUGGAUUUAACUGGGAAUUCCUUGAGGAUUGCAGUUGGUCCCGAUUGGAUACCACCCUUCAGUUUAGAAUACACACAUCUUGGCUCUUGCCUGUUAGGUUGA
rnacentral:rRNA from 1 species